GACGGUACCUGAGGAAUAAGCAUCGGCUAACUCCGUGCCAGCAGCCGCGGUAAUACGGAGGAUGCAAGCGUUAUCCGGAAUGAUUGGGCGUAAAGCGUCCGCAGGUGGCUAUGUAAGUCUGCUGUUAAAGAGUGAGGCUCAACCUCAUAAAAGCAGUGGAAACUACAAGGCUAGAGUACGUUCGGGGCAGAGGGAAUUCCUGGUGUAGCGGUGAAAUGCGUAGAGAUCAGGAAGAACACCGGUGGCGAAAGCGCUCUGCUAGGCCGUAACUGACACUGAGGGACGAAAGCUAGGGGAGCGAAUGGGAU
rnacentral:rRNA from 1 species